rnacentral:rRNA from 1 species
GACGAACGCUGGCGGCGUGCUUAACACAUGCAAGUCGAGCGGAAAGGCCUGCUUUCCCUUGUGGAUUGCGGGUACUCGAGUGGCGAACGGGUGAGUAACACGUGAGUGAUCUGCCCCCAACUUGGGUAUAAGCCUGGGAAACUGGGUCUAAUUCCCGAUAGGACUGCAGGGUGGUGCCUGUGGUGGAAAACGAUUUUCUAGUGGUUGGGGAUGAGCUCGCGGCCUAUCAGCUUGUUGGUGGGGUAAUGGCCUACCAAGGCGGCGACGGGUAGCCGGCCUGGGAGGGUGGACGGCCACAUUGGGACUGAGAUACGGCCCAGACUCCUACGGGAGGCAGCAGUGGGGAAUAUUGCACAAUGGGCGGAAGCCUGAUGCAGCGACGCCGCGUGGGGGAUGACGGCCUUCGGGUUGUAAACUCCUUUCGACCGCGAGGAAGCCACCUGGUUGGAAGGGUGGUGACGGUAGUGGUAGAAGAAGCACCGGCUAACUACGUG